rnacentral:rRNA from 1 species
AAAUUGAAGAGUUUGAUCAUGGCUCAGAUUGAACGCUGGCGGCAGGCCUAACACAUGCAAGUCGAACGGUAACAGGAAGCAGCUUGCUGCUUUGCUGACGAGUGGCGGACGGGUGAGUAAUGUCUGGGAAACUGCCUGAUGGAGGGGGAUAACUACUGGAAACGGUGGCUAAUACCGCAUAACGUCGCAAGACCAAAGAGGGGGACCUUCGGGCCUCUUGCCAUCAGAUGUGCCCAGAUGGGAUUAGCUUGUUGGUGAGGUAACGGCUCACCAAGGCGACGAUCCCUAGCUGGUCUGAGAGGAUGACUAGCCACACUGGAACUGAGACACGGUCCAGACUCCUACGGGAGGCAGCAGUGGGGAAUAUUGCACA